UGUGUGUGUGUAAUUAUGUAAUGGCAGUCCAAGACACAAUGAUGUAUUAGGCAUUUGUUAUUAGCCAUGUAACCCCUGGACUCAGAGUGAC